rnacentral:rRNA from 1 species
GCCUAUGGCCAUACCACCCUGAAUGUGCCUUAUCUCUUUUCAUGAAGCUAAGCAGGGUUGGGCCUGGUUAGUACUUGGAUGGGAGAAAUGUCCUCCAAUGAAAAGCUAUAAAAAAAUUUUGUUGGGCAGAUGUC